CUUUAGUGUGGUCCCUAACUUGUAAAGUCACUUUGGAUAAAAAAAAAGCCAAAUAAAUACAUGUAAAUGCAGAUAAAUUCAAAAUACCCACAAAAGACAAUGAAUUCACAGGCAUUUUUUUAUUCUAUGCUAAUGUAAAAUCAUCUUUUGUAAACAUAUUUAAUAUAAUUGUCUAAAAUAAAUUCAACUUAAAGCCUCAAAAAAGCCAGCCCUGAGAGAGGCUAAUAAGCACUAUACAUCUGAGACAUUUUCAUCAUAGCUGUGUGCGAAAGUGUUUGGUUGAUUUGUUAAACAACUUGUAUUUAAUAUUUAUUCUCUUACAUCUUAGACAGAAUAUGUUGUAUCUGAUGAUUUUGCUGCUCACUUCAGGUAAGUGCAUUCACAUAAAAUAAGGAAAUAUAAGUGAUUAAAAGACACAUUAUAACAAUGCCUACUUUGUUAUUUUUGAUGGGUGUCUUACAGGUUACGUCACUUUGGGCUCACACAUUCAUCAUGAGUAUCACCUGAUAAACGAGGCUAAGAGCUGGUUUGAGGCCCGGAAUUAUUGCAGUAGUCACUACACUGACCUCGCUACCAUCGGCAGCCAUGGUGACAUGAAGAGGCUGGUGAACCAAACAGCAGCUAGUGGCGUGACAGCAGAGAUCUGGAUCGGUCUGACAGAGAGCGGACCAGCGUCCUGGCUGUGGUCAGUGGGAGAAACUUCCAUGAGUCACAAAUUGGCCGAAUACAGUAACUGGGACUCUUCUCCUGAUUCCAGUCACCACUGUGGAGGCAUGAGGACUGAUGGGAAAUGGCUCAGCACACUUUGUCAAACUGCCCUCCCUUUUGUCUGUCAGGAAGGUGAGUAAGGCAGCUUUAAUGUGACAAUCACGGCUGUGAGGAGAGAGAUCAUACCCACAGACUCUGAUGACGUCUGUCCAGUGAAUAUACUGUACCGCUACAGUCGAAGAUUGGAAUGAGGGGGGAGACAGCUCACCUGCCUCUGUCUUAAAAUAAAGGGACAGCCUGUUAAAACACUUGUAUAGUGUCUUUGGCAGCUCUUCCCUUGUGAAGUCUAAAGAAAACCCUGAUGAUGUCAUCAGGGUCACCUCUGUCCCUCUCUCAACUUAAUAACCGGAGUAUUUCUUUAAAGCGACUUUAAGAAUGUGUGCAGCAGCUUGAAAACUUUCUCUCCAAACAACCUUAAUCUUUACAUUUUACGCAUUCACAGGCUGAGGGGUCCGGAAAGACGCACAUUAUUGUUCUUCAAAAUAUGGCAUGGAGGCAAACCCAAAAGCACUGUCGAGAGAACUAUAUGGACUUGGCUAGUGUGAGCAACCAGGCUGAAAAUCAGGCAUUACAGCAAAUGAUUAAUGAAAGUGGGCUGUCCUUGGUCUGGAUCGGUUUGUUCAGAGAUGAGUGGAAAUGGUCAGACCAGAGUACCAGCUCCCUCAGAUACUGGGAGUCAUCUCAGCCAAACAAUGACGGAGCCUGUACAUUGUAUAACCCCUCUGCCAAGGCGUGGUAUGACAGAGGUUGUACUGAUGGACAUCCAUUCUACUGCUAUAAAGCUACAGAAAGACCAAAAACAGUAAGGAGGAUUGUGAAGAUGGAAUUCAAAUCAAAUUCACCCCUUAACUUCAAUGAUUUUGCUGUGAGUAAUGCUAUUUUGGAACAAGUAAGUUUUUGUUUCUUCUUCUUUGUUGCUGAUGAGUAAAGUAAAAUAGUGUUACAUAAACAUUUUUUUUUUGGUUUGUCACUACAUUUCUUUAUGCCUCCAUAGAUCCAAAAGAAGUGAUGAGGGGGCCAAGCUUCAGUGGAAAGUUCAGUCAGAUGGGAAGAUUUUCCACAAGAAAGAAAAGAAGAAAGUUAAUGAACCCUCAUGUAAUAAUGCACCCUAGGUGAAGUUGAACAGGACACUCAAAUCACUCCUGAAAGUCUGUAUGUGCUGGCAUAUAUGAGACUUCUCUAUUAGAACUGAAGACACAACACAACAAGGACAGCACGUGGACCUGUUUGAAGUGCUGUCAGAAAAAAAGCUUUCUGAUGCUUUUGACAAAUAGAAAUAUUUGUCAAAUCAAUUACUCCUCAAGUUUCUAUAUCCUUCAGACAGUAUAGGAGUGAUAUUUAUCUGGCAUUGUACAUACACAUAUUAUUCAUGUUUUAAUGGAGUUAAUUUUUAUCUUUAAUGUUUGUGUCUGCAGAAAAAGGACUUACUGUUAUUUACACUUACUGCUAGUGUAGUAGCAAAGGUGUCAGGUUUUGACAAAGAGGAGGAAUGUGGGGAUUUGAUUUUGAUGUUUUUUUAAAUUGUCCACUGUAAGUCUGACAAUGUUAUAGCAGUGCAAAGCUAAAUCAAUCAAUGGAGUACUCUUUUAAACCAAGACAAAGAAACACACUUGAGGUCUUUUUCUUUAAGAAUGAGUUUAUGUUCCCUUGUAAUACUGCAUUAAAAAAGGCUGACAAUAGCAAUAUAAUGAGACAAGCCCAACUAAUCUGAAGUGAAAACAAACAAAAAACAGUAACUCAGCAGAGAAUAACAGGAAUCUGCUUCACUGGUAACAUACCAUCCAUUUUGAAUCAGACAGCUUGACUACAAAAUGUCACUUCACGUGUAACCCACAUCUGACCUGCAGCACUGCUUAUGACUGAAUAACUGCUCACCAUGUUCAUAAAUAUAACUCGCAUCAUUGUUAUGAUGCUUAUUGAUGAAAAAGAAAAAAUAUAAAUCAGAUUUAUAGAUGGCAGUGAAAUAACUGGAGUUCAUUUACAGUACAGUUUUUAACUUCGACAGUUUGAAAUGCUUACUGACCACUGCAAGAAAAUCUGAUCAACAUUAUGUGUAUGUACAGUUUGAAUUAGCUUGAACUGAACUUAAUCAAACAGUAAUGCUAACCUAUGAAUUUAAUAAAGCAGUGUGAUAUUACUACAUGUAUAUAAACAGCCUGGCACUCUGAGCAGAGCAUUACAAUCAUGUAUGUAAAAAGCAGAUCUAUACAUAAUGAGUAAACACUGAGAAGUCACAGACUUCCAAGAUUUUUAAAAUUCUUGUUCUCGCUGUUAUGACAAUGUUGGGUUCAGAUACUGAAGUCACCUCAACAGUCCUGCAUGUUUUCUCACAACUGUAUUUUCCAGACAAAUCCCUCAACAAACAAUUAGUGGCACAAAAAGUGUAGUGUACUUAAUGCUGUUAAAACAAACUGCACUUGAAUUUAUAUUAAAUUCCUCCCUGCAAUAAGGUGACAUCAGGAUUAAAAAUAAUCUAACCAUG